UACGUAGGGUGCGAGCGUUAAUCGGAAUUACUGGGCGUAAAGCGUGCGCAGGCGGUUCGUUGUGUCGGCGGUGAAAGCCCCGGGCUCAACCUGGGAAUGGCCGUUGAAACUGGCGAACUGGAGUGUGGCAGAGGGGGGUGGAAUUCCGCGUGUAGCAGUGAAAUGCGUAGAGAUGCGGAGGAACACCGAUGGCGAAGGCAAUCCCCUGGACCUGUACUGACGCUCAUGCACGAAAGCGUGGGGAGCAAACAGG
rnacentral:rRNA from 1 species